rnacentral:lncRNA from 1 species
AACCUUUUGCCCUUAGUGCUAUCAGUUUCUCUGAAGGAUAGUAUCUCUGAAGUCCUCGUCUAGGCUUAGCUGUAGAAAAAUGAAACGGCAGUGUGGUGCAUAUUUAAACAUGACAUAGCAGGCGAGGAAAGAAAGUGAUCUGUCUUUUGAUUGAAGAUGAAAUAGCUCCUAAACAAACAAGUGGAAAAUUGGGUCAGCUAUCUCCAAAUACAAAAUAUUUUGAAAAAUUGAGACAAAAGCAUUAGGCUCAUGUUUGAAUAUGGCUACUCAAAGUAAUCAUCUUUAAACUGUCACUAGGGGGACUUUGAAGAUACCUGACUUUUCAGACGGCUUAUCUGUGUGUUUCCCUGAAGUCUGCCUUGCAGGACUGAGGACAAGGGUUUUGCACAUUCCUCUCAGGCUCUGUUCAGGCCUGUUGUAAGAAGGUGUUCCAGAUCCUGAGUAUACAGCCAACACUGAGCUG